AUUUAUAAAGCAGACGUAAGCCUUAGUAAUGAUCUAAGAAGUAUAAAAUCCAGUUGAAUAAAAUCUCAUUUACAUUUUGCCAAGGAAGGUGACUGUACAAAACAGGAGGAGCCAAAUCACAUUGCUCAUAGUUGUGCCUGGUGAUGGCAGCCACCCAACUCAGAGACAAGGAAGUCUAAUCAGUGCCAUUUAUAGCUUUAUUCUCUAUCCCUUGAGAUGCAGUUGAAAGCAACACCGAGAUUUUAAUAGGUUCAUAUGAACUUAGCAGCCAGAUUCAGCACUGAAGUACGAGGAGGUGUGAAAGCAAUUCCACACAAGUGUAAUUUAAAGGUGUCUAAAUUAGUAACAAAAAUAGAAGUAAAAGAUAAGGAUCAUCAUUUUAUUAAGAUUUAAGUCAUUGCUUAAAUGCUUUUAAACUCAAUCCUAAUGUGUGGCCUAGUGAUUUAGUAGCCCCGUUUAUUAUGUGGGAAUCUGACCCGUUAAUGCUACUUUGACCCGUUCACAGAUGAAGGUACUCUAGCAAUGUGCUUUCCUCCAGUUAUUUCCUUUGAAAGCAGUUCAUGGGGCUUUAGGAAAGAAGGCAUUUGCCAAGGUCAGCAGAUCCUAACUGCUCCACAACAGAAUAAAACUUAAUAGAAAUGAUUUAUUAGAGCAGCUCAGAUUUCAGUGGAGGUUUCCUAGAAAAAUGAAGUGUUAUGAAUGAUCCAGCUCCUAUCCAAAGAAUUUGGAGGUUUCUUGAGGUGAGAUUCCUUACAAAAUACUGCAGAGGGAGCUCGAAGCCUGGGAGUGUUUCAGACUGAGCUCUUUGACUUCAUGGUGGAGUAGCAGGGUAAAGAGAGCAAAUAUUGAUUCAUUUCUGUGGAGCUUUUGGUGGUGUGACCAGGACAUUCAGUCCACAAACACCCACUUAGAGACUGGGGACAUGGAAUGGUGAAGCCCGUGGCUGCCCUUGGCAGGGCCUGUGCACUGUCACGUUGCAUGAAUAAACAUGGCAUGGGUGGCAGGUUGCUUGGGAGGGUUCAUGGCUUAUUAAACAGCUGCUUUAAAAAGCUGUAUAUUAACCAUGUGCCCUGAGAAGUCAACGUUUUGGUACAAUGCAUGCAGCUGUACACAGGUGUGAACCACGGGUGACCAAGAUGUAUCUGAAGAUUAAUACAUUAAGAAAUGUGAUCUGCUCAUCUAAUUACACGCUCCUAGCAGGACAGAUGGGAAUUCCAUGCUUGUGAGCACUGUGCCACAGUGACACAAUGCUGCUGUCUCAGUUUAAAGCAUCAGUUUAAGAUCAGCUUGCACAUCACCUUUGGGGCUUGAGAGACUUACCUACUACAGAAGCAAAGGCCUGGUACCAACUGGGACUCAACUGCAAUGUUGGAAGCUGUGACCAAAGCCUUCCAGCUUCCAUCUAAACGUAAGGCCAACAGUACUGCACUGCUCAGGAGGAUGAAGUGGCACAUCACUACAAGAACGUGAGCAGAGGCUACCUGAUGAUAGCCUCGCCUCAGGAAGUGAUUCUCUCUCCAGAAAAGCAACUUCUGUGGCUGAUCUGCCAGCUAACUUGGAUCUGAGACCAUCAGUCAAAAGCCUUUACUUCCUCCCUUCCCUAUUUGCAACUUUUCCCUAGCCUCCAUCUGUAUAUUUCAGCUGGAGAAGACAGACACUCUUUUCAUUUAGAAGUAAAAAUUGGGAAUAACCUU